CAUCAAAGCUGCCCUGCGUUGACUGACUGAUCCUAAACAUGGCAGUUUCUUAUACCCGCUGCACGCUCACUCAAAAAUGAUAACACUGCUACCUCCACUUCAGACAGGAACGGAGACAGGCAGACAUGUACAGUAGGGGCGAUAGAGGGGGUGUUAGCCCCUCCUUACUGCUGUCAUUGAAGAAGAAAAAAGAGGAAAAUAAAAAAGAGCAGGAGGAAGAAAGAAAACCACAGCCAUACAGGCAGUGCUACGGGCAGUGCUACUCAGCUGAACUGUAUCUGCUGCCUGUUUAACAGUGGGGAGAAGACAUUAUUAGGCGGCGUGCUCCUCCCUCUCCACAGCCAGGCAGCCUUAUCUGUCAGCCAUUAGUUAAUCAAGGCUGGUAACGUGGAAGUAGAGCAGAAAACCGGCACAGCGCAUGGGCCUCUGAGAGCUGAGCUGAGCAGUGCAGGAGGAGGGCAAAGACCUGGGAACUGACCAACCCCUCCACUCUAAACUCUACUACCAGGCUAGGCUGCUGCCUCACUCUACUCAACACUGGAUCAGAGCAUGUCUUUGUCUAGGCAUGGCAGGCUGCAAUUGUAUGAUGACAUCCUCCCAUUCCAUCACAGAGGACAGGUCCUGUUUUGCAAGGAAGUUUCAAAGACAGAAGUCAAAACAACACAUGCUGUCGACGUGGGAAAAGCUGGUAAGAGCAGAACAUCGUGGGGCGGAGGAAUGUCAGAGUCAUAGAUCUUUCAUCCUCAAGGCCAAAAUAGCCACACACAGGCCUGAUCAUCUCCAUGCAUGGGAAGAAACAUUAAGCAACACCUCAUACUAGCACUAAUACAGUCCAGUCUAACCCUGGCCAACGUGGUCCAAAUCUGGCAUCCAGACAUCAGUGGCCAAAGAGAUAUCAUUAGACAAUUACUACACGAGUAAGUAGGCUGUAUUAACUGAAAUUAAUUGGUAUUAACUCGCAAAUAGGAUUUCCUCACAAAAGAGUUGGCACAAACCAAUGUCAUAAGUACAUUUAGAUACCGAAGGUAAAAAAUAGGGACAUUUCUUGUUGGCGUCACCAUGGAGUUGAUUGUAAGGGUAAUGAUGAUUGAAAAGGAUAUUGCAAAGUCUAAAUAAUUAUUGGUCUGUGUUAACAAAGUUGACAAAAUGUUCACUACAAGAGCUUAAGGCUGCUUGUGAUGGAAAAUGAAAGCAGUCGACUAAACUCAACUGUGUCGUUGGUGCCAAACUGUGCCUCUGCCAUGGCUAGAAACUCAAAUAAACAAUCCUAAAAGGGCAUAUUAAGUUUCCCCAACACUAUUCUCUUUUUAAGUCAACACCACUCAGAAAAGAUGAACUGAGCAACCAUAAGUCAACUUUCGGGAAUGACAAAAACCACCAGUUUUUCUACCUGUCCAAACACAGCUGGAACCAAGAUCCAUGUCCAUGUCCCACUCUAGAAAAACUCCAUUGGUGCUUCAUUGAGUACAAUGCUGUUGUCUCAUAAAGCUAUGCCAGACCAGGAAAGUGAACCUGAUUUCGGACAGCAGAACUAAAAAGACGGAACAAUGCAUGAGAUUCUAAAGUGACCUUUGGCCCAGGAUUUCCAAGAGCUUCCAAGAGUCCCUAUUCCUGGCAAAUUCCAUCCAUCCAAAUUCCAUCUUCUUCUUACUCAACACCACUUCACUGUUAAGCUGUCAAGACCCAAACUCUAGUGUCAUUUAUCCUAGUGACGAGUUCACAACCAAAGCCAAAGACAUAGUGUUCUUUUAAAAUAAAUAAAUAAAAUCAAAGGUUAUUUGCCACAUGCUUCGUAAACAACAAGUGUAGACUAACAGUGAAAUGCUUACCUACGGGCCCUUCCCAUCAACGCAGAGAAAAAUGAUAGAAAAAAAUGAUAACACAAGAAAUAAAUACACAACGAGUAAUGAUAACUUGGCUAUAUAUAUGGGGUACAGCUAAUGUUUGUCUUUCAGCAUUGUUCAUCCUGGGUUCCCAUAACAGAAUUGCAUCAUAAGACACCAACGACCGUGACCUUGGCCUUGUGUUCCUACCAAAAAGCUACAGUACAGAUAUCGGACAAAGGGCAACAUUUUCCUCUCUCAAAGAGACACAAGAAAAUGUUGCCCAAAAUAUUGUAUGAUGGGACAAUCACAUUGCUGUUAGAUUGUUUGUAAUUUAGAGGUGGUUGAUCGUCAACACCUGCCCGUGUGUGUCUCAUUAACACAUUCCUCCAAGCUGAACCCUCUGUUUACACCUCUGUCUUUUUAUGGUGCCGUUACGGGGGUGAAAUGGUUGUGUGUUGUUGGUGUGUUUCACAAGCCUGAUAUGCUAUCUACCUUUGAUUUCACCCCCACUAUAUCACUCUUUGAAGAUGUGCAACAAUGUACAAUCUGAAGCUGGGCUCAGUGGACUCCAAAAAUGGUGUUAAACCUUGAGAACAACUGUGUCCUUAACAGUAGAAGGAAAACAAGAUAGGUAAUAGCAUUGACUACAAAGUCAAAGGCGACUAUAAUUCCUUGGUUUCUAGCACAUCAGAUAUAAUAUUUGCCCAACAAUGACUGCCUCACGUAGCCACACUGUAUAUUUUCAGAUCCUAGACGGGUGUCAAACAUACAGCCCGUGGGCCGGUUCCCUGGGUGGUUUGAGUAUAUACUAUAUUUUUUAAUAGGACUAUAUCAUUAUUCUGUCAUUAUUCUGAGUGGCGCAGCAGUUUAAGGCCCUGUAUUGCAGUGCUAGAGGCGUCACUACAGACCCAGGUUCGAUCUGAGAUCCGGAGUCACACCGGCGUUGCACAAUUGGCCCAGUGUCGUCCGGGUUACGGGAGGGUUUGGCCGGGGUAGGCGGUCAUUGUAAAUAAGAAUUUGUUCUUAACUGACUUGCCUGGUUAAAUAUAUAUAUAGUUUUUUAAAAUUUGAUACUUUAAAAUGACUAAAAGCAAAUCCAAACUGUGUAGAAAUUAUACAGUUUCUUGACUGUGUCCAGCUCGCUAAUAGUCACCCAAAUGGAAACAAGACAGUCAGGGAGCAUAGAAAAUUCAAAAAUCAAUGGAUAGAUUACAAUGAAUUUGUUUUGAUGGCGAGGAAAUAUAACCAAUAUCCAGUGCGGCCCUCCAGACCUCAUUGACAAAAUGAGUUUGUGCUUGGAAUUUACUCUGGCGGAUCUGUCGCUGGAGGAUGAUAUGAGAGGACUGAACAUUGCGUGAUGUAAACGGCGGUGUCGUUUAAUCACAAAAGGAUGGGAGGGAGACGUUGGGGCUGAAUAUGUAACAUCGAUGAGUACUGUAGGCUCAAACAUUGACUUGCUGGAAUGUCUUCACCAUCUGUGAGCCAGCGGCCCUAAAGCUCUGAGAGACAGAUGCACAAGUAGAAACAGACCUGCCAGCCAGGUAGCUAAUGUGGAACGUGCAGUACAGGACCCACAUCAGUAAAGGUAGAGCCUGGAAGUCUUCAUAUAAAGAGUGAUACACUGACGUCUAUUGCCCUGCUGACUGACGCCACACAAGAAAGCAGCGGUGGAGGGUGUCUUGGUAAGAUGUGAGGUAAAAAGUAAUAAGCUCUACUUUCUAGGGAGAUAUCGUAUUGGGUUAUUGGGUCAGUUGGUUACCACAUUCUUCUAGGGCAACCUCAAACUCUUUCCCACUGAACCAAGUUUGGGGAGAAAAAAAAUUUAGACAAAUAUGAAGAGUUUGUACAGUCCAACUACCAAGGUACAUCAACAUGACAGCCACCAACAGGCCCCAAUAUGAAUAAUCUCCAGUAGAGACGAGGUGAGAGGAACAUGCAUUAAAGUCCCAUUUCAGAGAGGAUUCAACCCAUAAGCUUUAGAGAUCUUUCUCUCAGAUGCGUUGCAAUGCCAGUUGAGGACCUGUUCCCGAUCAUUGGACGAGCCAGGGAAAGCCUAGUUUAAACGCUUCCAGAUCUCUACUUAUUUUAUCCCCCUGCAUCCAUCCCCAGCUGUAGCGCCAGCGAAACAAAAAUCUGCCUAAACUAGUCUCUCAGUCUUUUCCCCAAUCUCUCUCCACUUGCUCUGCUCUGUAUCCAGUUUCUUUGUGGUUGCGAGUCAACUCCUGCCAUUUUAUGUCAUCACCCUCUGUCACUGAGACUGCAUUAGUGGCUAUGUCUAAACGAGGUUUUAAUGUACAGGACUAGGCCACAUAGAGCCAAAUAUAUAUCAAACUUUGAAGUUUUGACAUCAACCGUGCUUGAUCGCAGAUGUCUAUAUAGGCAGGAGGGUUCACUGGUUUAGAUGAAAGACUCUCCAUCGCUGACACUUAAUAUUUAUCUUCCAUAUGUACUAUAUAAAUAUCUUGUAUAGUUCUCUCUCAGCCAAACGUUAAGAAAUGUGUGUGUUUUGUUGGGCAAUCUGGGAUAAAAACAAAUCAAUCUUUGUAUACAAGCCGUGUCUUUUCUCUGUCAUUUGUUUCUAUUGAGGCAUGGCAGCAUUAUUUCAUUGCUCUCUAAAUUGCAAGAAAUAAAUCUUGGACACAUCAAUGUUGAUGGAGAGCAUACUGAUAUUACAGUUGUUUUUUAAUCAAAUCCUGGGACAAAAACAAAUGACUUUGAUUUAAAACAGACAGGAAAUGUAAUAAUGAAAAAAAUGAGACUUAUUUUGAUAUAUGUUUUGUCUGUCCUCCAUGUUUUCCAACUGUUUGGCCUUUCGAUACAGACUUUGUUGCUGCUGUCAAAGCUAUACUUCUGUCCAAAGAUGUUGAUGCCUCAGAUAACAUCUCGAAACAGAAUCUGGUUUGGUGCCUCCAAAGCCUUAACCCUCCGAACGUGCCCAAUCCUACAAGUAUACUGACCAAUACAACUCAUCAAUUGCAUAAUUUGGUUUGGCUUAAUGAAUAAACCACCACGAACAGGGACCAAAUGUAACAUUAGCAUCCUGCUCUGGUUUCCAACCUAUGACAAGAACCAUGCUUGAAGAACUGAGACUGAGGGAACCUCCAAGUCUCCAAGUCCUAGCUAGUCCAGUUGAUCAGUGCUACACCGGCAUAUGGGCUGGAUCAGAAAACACAAGCUCAAUGAUGUUACUACCAUCUGACCCCAGGGUGACAUGUUUAGGGAAUUUGCCUCAGGCCAAAGUCAAAAAUGUUUAUAUUGUUGUCAUUUUAAACAAAUAUGUUUAUGUUGUUGUCAUUUUAACAAAUGUCUUUCGUUCAGGGUCACGUCAACAAAGAUCGCUCUCAUUGGGACUCCCCCACUAACUGCAGGAAAUUGUGUUUAUAAGCAACAAAUAGGCAUAAAUUACUAAAAUGUUGGAGUGUUCAAUUCAUCACAUUAUUGUUGGUUAGUGCUGCUUCACCCCAAAAAGGGUUGCAGCUGUUUUUAAAGCAAUCAACAUUACUUAAUGAUGUUACCAUUGUUGCUAUAUCUAUUUUGUGUGGAACUACUACUGCUCCCAAACUGUGUUUGAAUAACAAAAUCUGUGCAAUAAAUUUCAAUUAUUUUCUGUC